rnacentral:rRNA from 1 species
UACGAAGGGGGCUAGCGUUGCUCGGAAUCACUGGGCGUAAAGCGCACGUAGGCGGAUUGCUAAGUCAGGGGUGAAAUCCUGGAGCUCAACUCCAGAACUGCCUUUGAUACUGGCGACCUUGAGUCCGGGAGAGGUGAGUGGAACUGUGAGUGUAGAGGUGAAAUUCGUAGAUAUUCGCAAGAACACCAGUGGCGAAGGCGGCUCACUGGCCCGGUACUGACGCUGAGGUGCGAAAGCGUGGGGAGCAAACAGG